rnacentral:rRNA from 1 species
UACGGAGGGUGCAAGCGUUAAUCGGAAUUAUUGGGCGUAAAGCGUCCGUAGGUGGCUGUAUAAGUCUUUUGUCAAAUCGUGCGGCUUAACCGCAUACGGGCAGAGGAAACUAUAGAGCUAGAGUGCGAUAGGGGUCACAGGAAUUCCCAGUGUAGCGGUGAAAUGCGUAGAUAUUGGGAAGAACACCAGCGGCGAAAGCGUGUGACUGGGUCUGCACUGACACUGAGGGACGAAAGCUAGGGGAGCGAAAGGG